GACGAACGCUGGCGGCGUGCUUAACACAUGCCAGUCGAACGGAAAGGCCCUGCUUUUGUGGGGUUCUCGAGUGGCGAACGGGUGAGUAACACGUGAGUAACCUGCCCUUUACUUUGGGAUAACUUCAGGAAACUGGGGCUAAUACCGGAUAGGAGCUCCUGCUGCAUGGUGGGGGUUGGAUAGUUUCGGCGGUUGGGGAUGGACUCGCGGCUUAUCAGCUUGUUGGUGGGGUAGUGGCUUACCCAGGCUUUGACGGGUAGCCGGCCUGAGAGGGUGACCGGCCACAUUGGGACUGAGAGACGGACCAGACUCCUACGGGAGGCAGUAGUGGGGAAUAUUGCACAGUGGGCGGGAGCCUAAUGCAGCAGCGCCGGGUGCGGGAUGACGGCCUUCGGGUUGGAAACCGCUUUCGCCUGUGACGAAGCGUGAGUGACGGUAAUGGGUAAAGAAGCACCGGCUAACUACGUG
rnacentral:rRNA from 1 species